UACGUAGGGGGGCAAGCGUUGUCCGGAAUCAUUGGGCGUAAAGCGCGUGUAGGCGGCCCAGUAAGUCCGCUCUGAAAGCCCGGGGCCUCAACUCCGGGAGGCGGGUGGAUACGUGCUGGGCUCGAGUCCGGAAGAGGCGAGUGGAAUUCCGUGGUGUAGCGGUGAAAUGCGCAGAUAUCAGGAGGAACACCAAUGGCGAAGGCAGCUCGCUGGGACGGUACUGACGCUGGAGACGCGAAAGCGUGGGGAGCAAACAGG
rnacentral:rRNA from 1 species